rnacentral:snRNA from 1 species
UGAAGCCUAUAGGUUUUC